CAGAACGAAGUGCAACGGUUUGGCUUGACUCGCGCAGCGGGCGGGGCUUCCUUGAGCGCCAACGUUCCGCUGUUCGUUGAAACAUGGGGGCGUCCGGCCUUCGAACGGAAAAAGCCGGAGCACGCUAGUUCGAAUGUCGCACCGAUACCGUCCUAUUCAUGAUUUCCGGCCUGCGCGGGGUAUCUAUGAAGCCGCUCCACCUCACCUCAUCCAUUUCGCUAGUUUUAUUCCGCCCAGCUGGUGCCGGCCGAGCCAAGCUGCAACGUCGGCUUUGCGCAUGCUCCAAAUCAAAGGGCCGGCCAGCCUCAGUAAUUGAUGGUAGGUCGGGACCAAUAGGAAGAAGGGGCGGAGUCGGCGGACCGCCUGGAAGCUUCUGGUCCUCCAAGCAAUCACAGUGAAUGAGAAGCGGGAGUACUCCUGGAACUAUGUGGAGUGAGUACCUCUCACAGAAAGAUGCUCUGUCGGCAGCUGACAUUGCACAUGUGCAGAAUGGCACGAAGACCGUUGCAGAGACAUUGGCACAUGUGCAGAACAAAGUGUGCGAACCAAUCCUACUGGAAUCUACUAUUGCGAACAGAGAUAAGCAUUCUCAAAAAUACCAUUUCGUAAUUCUUCAGCAAUGUUAUAGCCAAAUUGCGUGUUUUUCAAGAACUACCCAUACUCUAUAUUCUGUUUUCUUUUAUUUGUGUUUCAACUAUAGUGUUUAAAUAAAUUCUGUUUUGUUUAAA